AAUAACUGGGCGUAAAGGGUACGUAGGCUUUUUGGAGGUCUUCGGGAAAUCCACAGGCUCAACUUGUGGCUUGCCGGAAAAACUGCAGAGAUUGAAUCCGGAAGGGGAAANCGGAAUUCCUGGUGUANCGGUGAAAUGCGUAGAUAUCAGGAGGAACACCAGUGGCGAAGGCGGCUUUCUGGUCCGGAAUUGACGCUGAUGUACUAAAGCGUGGGUAGCAAACAGGAUUAGAUACCCUGGUAGUCCACGCCCUAAACGAUGUAUACUUGAUGUCGGGAUGUUCGGUCGUCUCGGUGUCGUAGCUAACGUGUUAAGUAUACCGCCUGGGGACUACGGUCGCAAGACUGAAACUCAAAGGAAUUGACGGGGGCCCGCACCAGCGGUGGAACAUGUGGUUUAAUUCGAUGCAACGCGAAGAACCUUACCUGGGCUUGACAUAUGUAUGAAGUAUGUAAGAAAUUAUGUAUUCUGUCUGAUUUUUCAGACAGCAUAUAUACAGGUGAUGCAUGGCUGUCGUCAGCUCGUGUCGUGAGAUGUAGGGUUAAGUCCCUUAACGAGCGCAACCCUUACUUUUAGUUGCCAUCAGGUAAAGCUGGGGACUCUAGAAGGACUGCCGAGGUUAACUCGGAGGAAGGUGGGGAUGACGUCAAGUCAGUAUGUCCCUUAUGUCCAGGGCUACACACGUGUUACAAUGGCCGGUACAGAGUGCCGCGAAGCCGCGAGGUGAAGCAAAUCACUCAAAGCCGGUCCCAGUUCGGAUUGGAGUCUGCAAUUCGACUCCAUGAAGUUGGAAUCGCUAGUAAUCGCAGAACAGCACGCUGCGGUGAUACGUUCCCGGGCAUUGUACACACCGCCCGUCACGCCAUGGAAGUUGGGAGCACCCAAAGUUGCUGUCU
rnacentral:rRNA from 1 species